rnacentral:rRNA from 1 species
CAGCCGCCGCGGUAAUACGGAGGGCGCGAGCGUUGUCCGGAUUCACUGGGCGUAAAGCGGGUGUAGGCGGUCGGGUAAGUCGGACGUGAAAGCCCGGGGCUCAACCCCGGAAGGGCGUCCGAAACUGCUCGACUUGAGGGCGGGAGAGGGAGGUGGAAUUCCCGGUGUAGCGGUGAAAUCCGUAGAUAUCGGCAGGAACGCCGGUGGGGAAGCCGGUCUCCUGGGCCGCGCCCGACGCUGAGGCCCGAAAGCUAGGGGAGCAAACCGGAUUAGAUACCCGGGUAGUCCUAGCCGUAAACGAUGCCCACUAGGUGUGGGGGAGUAUUUCCUCCGUGCUGUAGCUAACGCGUUAAGUGGGCCGCCUGGGGAGUACGCCCGCAAGGGUGAAACUUAAAGGAAUUGGCGGG